AGCCCAUGGUGGGGACAACUUCUUUGAAAAUCUUUAAAUCUCUCCCAAGAUUCAUAUAAUGACUCACCUUCAUAUUGGCUAAAACCUAUAAUAUCCAUAUGAAAUU